rnacentral:rRNA from 1 species
CCUACGGGGGGCAGCAGUGAGGAAUAUUGGUCAAUGGGAGAGAUCCUGAACCAGCCAAGCCGCGUGAGGGAAGACGGCCCUAUGGGUUGUAAACCUCUUUUGUCGGAGAACAAAACCCGGGACGUGUCCCGGACUGCGUGUAUCCGAAGAAAAAGCAUCGGCUAACUCCGUGCCAGCAGCCGCGGUAAUACGGGGGAUGCGAGCGUUAUCCGGAUUUAUUGGGUUUAAAGGGUGCGUAGGCGGUCCGUUAAGUCAGCGGUAAAAUUGCGGGGCUAAACCCCGUCGAGCCGUUGAAACUGGGAGACUUGAGUGGGCGAGAAGUAGGCGGAAUGCGAGGUGUAGCGGUGAAAUGCAUAGAUAUCGCGCAGAACACCGAUUGCGAAGGCAGCGUACCGGCGCCAGACUGACGCUGAGGCACGAAAGCGUGGGGAGCGAACAGGAUUAGAUACCCUUGUAGUC